AUUGAACGCUGGCGGCAGGCCUAACACAUGCAAGUCGAGCGGUAGCACAGGGAGCUUGCUCCUGGGUGACGAGCGGCGGACGGGUGAGUAAAGCCUGGGAAACUGCCUGAUGGAGGGGGAUAACUACUGGAAACGGUAGCUAAUACCGCAUAACGUCGCAAGACCAAAGAGGGGGACCUUCGGGCCUCUUGCCAUCAGAUGUGCCCAGAUGGGAUUAGCUAGUAGGUGGGGUAACGGCUCACCUAGGCGACGAUCCCUAGCUGGUCUGAGAGGAUGACCAGCCACACUGGAACUGAGACACGGUCCAGACUCCUACGGGAGGCAGCAGUGGGGAAUAUUGCACAAUGGGCGCAAGCCUGAUGCAGCCAUGCCGCGUGUAUGAAGAAGGCCUUCGGGUUGUAAAGUACUUUCAGCGGGGAGGAAGGUGUUGAGGUUAAUAACCUCAGCAAUUGACGUUACCCGCAGAAGAAGCACCGGCUAACUCCGUGCCAGCCGCCGCAGUAA
rnacentral:rRNA from 1 species